rnacentral:ncRNA from 1 species
AUAGACGCAGGGAACAGAAGUAGUAGGAUGGAGAACUGUUAUAGCGAGCUGCCGGGUGGUGCAAGGCAGCCAGGGAAACAUCCGAACUCAUCUGGGAGUGCCCAGGAGGAAAUGCCUGGUCGGCUGGCGGCCGUUAUCAGCUUUUGAGGGGCCGAAAAAGAGUGGUACCACAAUGUCCAUUGUCUCUUUA